GGGUGGAGCAGUGGUAGCUCGUCGGGCUCAUAACCCGAAGGUCGCAGGUUCAAAUCCUGCUCCC
rnacentral:tRNA from 1 species